UCCCUGGUGGCUCAGAUGGUAAAGCAUCUGCAUGCAAUGUGGAAUACCCGGGUUCGAUCCCUGGGUUGGGAA
rnacentral:tRNA from 1 species